rnacentral:rRNA from 1 species
UUCUGAGAGGAAGAUCCCCCACACUGGUACUGAGACACGGACCAGACUCCUACGGGAGGCAGCAGUGAGGAAUAUUGGUCAAUGGGUGAGAGCCUGAACCAGCCAUGCCGCGUGAAGGAAGACUGCCCUAUGGGUUGUAAACUUCUUUUCUGCAGGAAGAAAUCACUCUACGUGUAGGGUGUUGCCGGUACUGCAGGAAUAAGCAUCGGCUAACUCCGUGCCAGCAGCCGCGGUAAUACGGAGGAUGCAAGCGUUAUCCGGAUUUAUUGGGUUUAAAGGGUGCGUAGGCGGGCUUGUAAGUCAGUGGUGAAAUGCUGUGGCUUAACCAUAGAAUUGCCAUUGAAACUGCAAGUCUUGAGUUUACAGUUGAGGUGGGCGGAAUGAGUAAUGUAGCGGUGAAAUGCAUAGAUAUUACUCAGAACUCCGAUUGCGUAGGCAGCUUGCUAAACUGUAACUGACGCUGAUGCACGAAAGCGUGGGGAGCGAACAGGAUUAGAUACCCUGGUAGUCCACGCUGUAAACGAUGAGCACUGGUUGUUGGCAAUACACCGUCAGCGACUGAGCGAAAGUAUUAAGUGCUCCACCUGGGGAGUACGUCGGCAACGACGAAACUCAAAGGAAUUGACGGGGGCCCGCACAAGCGGAGGAACAUGUGGUUUAAUUCGAUGAUACGCGAGGAACCUUACCUGGGCUUAAAUGUAGAGUGCAUUGCUUGGAAACAGGCACAUUCUUCGGAACUCUCUACAAGGUGCUGCAUGGUUGUCGUCAGCUCGUGCCGUGAGGUGUCGGGUUAAGUCCCAUAACGAGCGCAACCCCUACUGUUAGUUACCAGCACGUAAUGGUGGGGACUCUACGUCAAGACUGCCGGUGUAAACCGUGAGGAAGGUGGGGAUGACGUCAAAUCAGCUCGGCCCGGACGUCACAGGGCUACACACGUGUUACAAUGCCAAGUACAAAGAGCAGCCUCCUGGCCUGCACGAGCAGCUAAUCUCAAAAGCUUGCCUCAGUUCGGAUCGAAGUCUGCAACUCGACUUCGUGAAGGUGGAUUCGCUAGUAAUCGCGCAUCAGCCAUGGCGCGGUGAUACGUUCCCGGGCCUUGUACACACCGCCCGUCAAGCCAUGAAGCCGGGGGUACCUGAGUCCGUAACC